rnacentral:misc_RNA from 1 species
GGGUUUAGUUACUCGUGCAACCAAGAAAUUUCUGCACCUUAUUGUGUUAGGGAGUUUUAAGGGGAAUAAGAGAAGGCACGCAAAUGUGAGCCAAGUUGUGGUGGUUAAAUAUACAUACAUACAUUGAUAGACAGUGUCCAAGAGAGAAAGAAGGAAAUAAAAUAGCUAUUAUAUGCUUUGACCAUAUAUUGAGUAAAUAAGGAAUAAGAGACUAUGUUUGAAUUUUUGAGCCACAUAGGUAAAAUUGGGUCCAUCCAAGUAGUUUUGCUUGCAUGCUACAUUAGGCCAAAAACUUCUACUUUCAUCUUAUAUGAAGAAAAUAGCACAUU